GCAGAAUUCACCAAGUGUUGG
rnacentral:snRNA from 1 species